rnacentral:lncRNA from 10 species
GAGUUCUCCAUGGGAUCAGGCUGAGACUAGAGUUCUGAAGCAGCUGUAUUCUGGCCCAGCUUCUUCCCCAGCUCUAUCCUGCUUCCCUCCAUCUCCUAUAGGAUUCUCCUUAGAGUUCUCCCUCCAUUAGUAGUUGUCUUAGGGUCUGUUUCUGGGGAGCCCUGCCUAAGACUCAUGCUACAAGAAGUUAAAUAAGUUUCCCGAAGUCACACAGCUAGCCUCUCAUCCCUUUUCUACUGAGAGGAAGUGGAAUGCACUCCGACAAGGAUAAGGUUUUAUUGUGAGCUGGCCUUGGAAUUAAACCACCACCAACACACUUUUGGAUUAUCAGAAGGUGGAAGGAGUGCAAAGUAUGGUGACCAUUCUAUUUACGUUCUAUAAUAGAUUGUAAAAAGUGGCCACGAAUUCCUCCUAUCUGCAGGCUUUCCUGACUAAGGGGUGCUUCAACAUCAAAGCUCCUUAGGAUUUACUUCCUUUCUAAAGCAACGUCAAAAGGCUUUUGGUUUUAAGGAUCUAUGGGUGAAGAGAUAAUGCAGGAAGCCCGAUAUGCUGACAUGUGUGAGAGGCAUC